rnacentral:rRNA from 1 species
CUAAUACAUGCAAGUCGAACGCUUUGUGGUUCAACUGAUUUGAAGAGCUUGCUCAGAUAUGACGAUGGACAUUGCAAAGAGUGGCGAACGGGUGAGUAACACGUGGGAAACCUACCUCUUAGCAGGGGAUAACAUUUGGAAACAGAUGCUAAUACCGUAUAACAAUGACAACCGCAUGGUUGUUAUUUAAAAGAUGGUUCUGCUAUCACUAAGAGAUGGUCCCGCGGUGCAUUAGCUAGUUGGUAAGGUAAUGGCUUACCAAGGCGAUGAUGCAUAGCCGAGUUGAGAGACUGAUCGGCCACAAUGGGACUGAGACACGGCCCAUACUCCUACGGGAGGCAGCAGUAGGGAAUCUUCCACAAUGGGCGAAAGCCUGAUGGAGCAACGCCGCGUGUGUGAUGAAGGGUUUCGGCUCGUAAAACACUGUUGUAAGAGAAGAAUGACAUUGAGAGUAACUGUUCAAUGUGUGACGGUAUCUUACCAGAAAGGAACGGCUAAAUACGUGCCAGCAGCCGCGGUAAUACGUAUGUUCCAAGCGUUAUCCGGAUUUAUUGGGCGUAAAGCGAGCGCAGACGGUUAUUUAAGUCUGAAGUGAAAGCCCUCAGCUCAACUGAGGAAUUGCUUUGGAAACUGGAUGACUUGAGUGCAGUAGAGGAAAGUGGAACUCCAUGUGUAGCGGUGAAAUGCGUAGAUAUAUGGAAGAACACCAGUGGCGAAGGCGGCUUUCUGGACUGUAACUGACGUUGAGGCUCGAAAGUGUGGGUAGCAAACAGGAUUAGAUACCCUGGUAGUCCACACCGUAAACGAUGAGUGCUAGGUGUUUGAGGGUUUCCGCCCUUAAGUGCCGCAGCUAACGCAUUAAGCACUCCGCC